CUACAGAGGGUGCGAGCGUUAAUCGGAAUUACUGGGCGUAAAGCGCGCGUAGGCGGUUAUUUAAGUCAGAUGUGAAAUCCCUGGGCUCAACCUAGGAACUGCAUCUGAAACUGGGUAACUAGAGUUUAGGAGAGGGGAGUAGAAUUUCGGGUGUAGCGGUGAAAUGCAUAGAGAUCCGAAGGAAUACCAGUGGCGAAGGCGACUCCCUGGCCUAGAACUGACGCUGAGGUGCGAAAGCGUGGGUAGCAAACGGGAUUAGAUACCCUAGUAGUCC
rnacentral:rRNA from 1 species